GUGAAACUGUAACAUAGAGUGUUGCUGUGGAGACUUAGCAGGAGCAAUUCUAGGAACCAUGGAGUAGGUGACAAGGAUGGACAAUGGGGUCUCAGUAACUUCUAGAAGCUGUAUACAUGUUUAACCAGGAUUCUGUGAUGUAGCCGCCUGAUCUGCAUAUUCUUCACCAUUUGAAAGUAAGGUAGAGAAGAUCUCCCCCUUAUAAGCAAGAGUCAUCUGUGUCCACCAACCG